rnacentral:lncRNA from 1 species
UUUUUUUUUUUAGUUUACAAAGUUUGUGUCAUAUCAAAAACAUUGUUAAAAUUAUUUGAUUUGAUGUGACCUUGUGGUAAAUUCAGAGAACAUUAUACAAUAAUUCAAUUACUUGUUUAUUAUUGCAUAAAAAUCAAUCCCAUUUUAUUAUUUUCUAUAUGGUAUACAUAAAGCUGAUCUUUUUGUAUGGGAAUAGGACAAAUUUUUUAGCUGAAGAAAAAGAGUACUGUAUACAUUAGAAAAAGACAAAUAAAAUAUCUUGUAACCCCACAAUAUUAUGAAAUAUAAUUUGGUGUUUUCCCACCUUCUAGGGUGGCAACCACUUCAAUAUGAGCAACCCCUUCAUGAUUGGAAAAUCUCAUGUAACUAUGUGUGUAUGUGUAUGUAUCUAAUAUGUAUACCUAUGGAUUUUCUUUUUCUUUUUCCUUUUUCCUUUUUUAGUGGGUUUUUUAUAUUAUAAUCUUUCAUUUGCGUAAUUACUUUUUGCAUUAGUCAUUUUCUGACUUUUUGGGAUUGAGCCCAUAUGUCUCUCCUUUAUAACAUAAUAAUUUUAGAAUACAUCAAUUGAAUAAUUGCUUCAUUUUUGUAUAUAAAACAAAUCGGCUUGAUGGCAAAAUGUUAACAAACAGGUGAAUCUAUAAGGACGUGACAAUUCAUUUUUACAUUUUAAUGUUUACUUUUACAUUGUUAGUUUAUUAUUAUUUACUAUUAACUUACUUUUUACUCUAAAUAAUAAAAUACUUAAAAUAUUUAUUAAAUAAUUUACAUGAUUCUAGACUCUAUUCAUCUAUCAAUUCUAUCCAUAUGAAGGAUUGAUGUUAAUAAAUCUAAAAUUUUGUUAUGUUUAUAAAUAUGUUGGUGCAUUUUUGCCAUAUUUGAAAAUGUUUGUUUUCUUUAUUAUAUGUAAUAGAUUUUUCGUAUUUAUUUGAUUAUCAUCCUUUUAUUUUUGUUAAGUAUGUUGAAUAAAUCUUAAUAUUAGUCUUUAGUUUCUUAUUUGUUUUUUCAAGCAAUUUUGUCUCUUUAAACAUGCUUUUCCUUCUUAUAAACUAUGAUAAUAUAUAUAAUAAGAAUUUAGUAGAUUAAUUAGAUUUUUCAUAAAUAAUAAAAAAAAAUUGUAAGCUCAAUACUUUUAUACAAAGUCUACAUAAAAUUAUAUAUAUAAAAAAACAAACCCAUGAUUUUGACGAUUUCUUACAUAGAAACUAAAUAGUUGUUAGAAUUAAAUUGUUAUAAAACUUAAAGUUCAAAAAUAAAAUGAUUAUAAAUUAAAGUUUAAAGAUAAAAUUGUCAAAUUUUCUUUUUAUAAAUAUUAAGGAGGAAAAUAGAUUUUUCUUAAAAAGAAAAAAUCUAAAAAGUAAAAAGGGUAGAAGCAAUUCUCUUAAUUGAACUCUUGGAUAUGAAACUAUAAGUAGUUUUGAAGCCACCCUUAAAAUAGUUGAAUAUUAGAUUUAAAUAUGUGGGGACAAAAGACCACUAAUUUCUUUGAAAUUAAAAAGGGGCCGAUAAGAAUAGGCUUUGAAAUUCAAACUAUUUAUUAAUGAGUUCUUUUUCUAAGUUUGGUAGAAAUUAAUACUAAGCUCAUGAAGCAUCUUUUUUGACCAACGAAAAAUCAAAUCAACAAUUCUUCUAAUAAAUUAAUCAAUUUGUACAAAUUUGAUCAAGGUUUUUCUGUUGUUCAAUUUUAGGUGACAAAAUUCAUACGUAAUUAAUUUGUAUGGUGCGAUUAGACCUUAUCCUUUUAAGGUCAAUAAUAUCGACAUCCAAAACCUUUUUAUAAGUAUGCAAAUUUUUAAAAUUUCAACUAAUUAAAUAAAUAUGUUUAUAAUUUGCGUUGAUCAAAUUAGCACGCAUAUUUUUAAAAUUUGUUAUUUUUCUUAUAAAUUUAUUUGGGACGUUUAUGAAAUAUUUAGAUAAACAAGUGCAAGUUAUAUAUAUAAUACAAAUAUUUAUACUCUAGUGUUUCACUUUAAACACAAACUUCUAUUUGUUAAUUGUAACUAAUAAUUCUCAUAUUUCACAUUGUUUUUAAAGUUAUAGUUAUGUUCUCUUAAUUAGGAUAAUUCUCAUAUUUCACAUUGUUUUUAAAAGCUAUGUUCUCUUAAUUAGGUAGACAUUUAGAUGACAAAUGAAUCAAGUUGACAUAUUAAUAUUAUUUUUUAAAAUUUUAUAAUAUUGACCCUUUCAUAUUUCAACGCUAAAAGUUAUCAUUUUUCUUUCUAAAAAAAUCAAUCACAAUUAAUAAAAGGUUGAAGAUCAACACUCAAUUAUUAUACAUAUACACAUAAAAUAGGAUUAAUUUGAAACAAUUUAGAAUCUAUCCUAAGUUGAUUUGAUCGUAUAUUAAACUUUAAAGAAAAAAAAAUUGAUGGUUGAGAUGAAAAGGUUAGUAUUUAUUUAUUAUAGGCAUGAAGAGUCAAGAUCCCCCAAAUGUUGAUUAAAGAAAUAAUUAACAAUUAAGAAAUCAAAGUGAUAUUUUGAUUUAAAAAAGAAAAAUAAAGAAUAAAAAAAGUCAUGGUAUGUUAAUUAAUACACGUGGUCCAACCAAAAACACGUUGGGUGGGGCUUACUAAAACUACGAAAGGGUGUGGCGACCCAUGCAUUCUGGGACACGUGUUUCAAUAUGAUUUGAAGUACACAUGCAGGUACAUCUUGUGUACGUACGUCAGUCUAAUUAUUGAGACAGAUUCAAUUUAUAUAAUUUAAAUUAACAAAAUAAAUAAUUCAUUCAUCAUUUUCUUUUUUUAUAAAUUAAAAUCAACUUUUACCCUUCCUAUUCCCAAAGAAAUAUAAAUGGGUUAAACUCUAUUAACCUUUUUUUUUUUAAUAGUUCAGAUAUUAUUUCCAAUAAAUUAAAAUUUUCUAUCAACUUUAGGCUGCACUUUUAUAUUUCUACUGUUUAUGUCAGCAUAUUCUUAUAAUCUUUGUAUUCAUUUCAUAUUCUUAUAUACAUGGGUCGUUUAUGUAUGUUAUUAUUAUUAAUAAUGAAAGAUUAGUUUGACUAAACUAAAAUUUAAGGAGGUUAGUAAUAGAAAAUUGUUAGGGUUGGAAAAGUAUAUAUUAGACAUAAUAAUGCUCGAGGUUUGAAUGAAAUGUAUAUACUCAUAAAAAUAUAUUGAUUAGAUUAGAAAAAGAAAUGUGAGUGAGAUGAGAUAAUGGAUUACAGCAGGGAGAGUGUGUGACAAUGAACGAAGAUUUUGGAGUCACGUGAAAUAAAGUAUUAAUUAAUUACUUUCAAUCAAUUAAUUAAUACUAAUAAUUGAGAUAUAAAGUAAAACAGGCAGAGCCAGUUGGUAUUGUAUUCCUUCCAUUUUCAUUCUCUCCUUCAUUUCUAUAUAUACAAAAUCAAUUUGUUUUAUUCAAAGUAUUAGUUUUGUAUCGAUGUGUCAACACUUUCUUUUAUAUAUGAGUUCAACAUUGACAUAAAAAUGAAAUCGGUAUUUUUAUUAUGUUGUAAAGAAUUCAUGAAACAUGGAAUAAUAAAUUGUUAAUCAAACACAUAAUACACUUACAAUUUAUUUAAGAAGCAUGUUAGACUUCUUUCUAACUACAUUUUUCUUUUGUAAAAUUGAAUAUUACGGGUUUUCUAAUAUAACAAAAAAAAAAAAAAUCAAUUUGUCAUUUUAAAUUUUACUGUAUUUAUAAAUAUAUAGGUGAUAUUGUUGAAAGAAUUUUAUUUUCAUUUAGAUUUGGAAAAGUCAAGUUGAUAUAGAAAACUCUUCAUCAAUUGUACUCUUUGUCAAGAAAGAAAAAAGGAACAAAUAUUAUGAGCUGUCGAAGGAAAGAUAUUUACCAAAUUGAAGAUGAGAUAAUUUUUCACGUCUUUAUUGGUUUUUUUCUGAGAUUUGAAAAUGUAAUAUUUGUUUGAGUGUUAAUUGACUUUACAGUAUUGGUUUCCUUAAUUAGAAAUGUGUAUGUGACAUUUCUUCCAAUUGAAUUCUUACAUAUACAUCACUUAUAAACAAUAGCUACCAUUUUAGAUUAGAUUAUUAGUUUCAUUUAAGUUUAAUUGUUAUCUUUUUCUUUUAUCAUCAUUAUUGUUAUUAUUAUUUCAUUUUGUUUUCAACAUUCUCUUGAACAAACAUUAGAAUAAUUGAACAAACAUUAGAAUAAUUACAAUGGAUAGUAAUAUUAUUAGAGAUAAUAAUAUAUAAGAGUAUAUAGCAACAUUUUUUAAAAAAUUGUAUAGAUAUAUAUGCUAUAUUUUAAAAGAUUACUAUCUAUGCUAGUAUUGUAUCCAAUGCUAAAUAACUUUUUAAAUAAAUAUUUACAAAACUUCAAAAAUUAAUUUAAUUCAUUUAACAAGUGAAUGGUCUUUUUUUUCAUGAAUACACAUUUUAAAUAUCAUUUUUGAUUUUGUAGUUUGAGCUUUCGUUAAUUUUAGUUCAUGUAUUCUCAAUAAAGAUAUUUAAAUUUAGUAUAUCAAAAUUGAUUAAUUAACAACAACAACAACGUUCAUAUAAACACAUAAGAGACAAUAUUGUUACCAAUUUUACAGCAAAAAUACCAAUGAGCAACAACUUUUUUCUUAAAAAGGAAUUCAGCAAGAAACUAUAAAGUAAAUUUAAGAUUGAUUAAGAGUACACCUACUAAAAAAUUAAAUCCUUCAAGUACAUCUUAAAAGUGAUAGAGUAAGUUAAUUAAAAACAAAUUUUUGACAAAUCAUAAAAUUUCCUAGGAAAACUCUAAAAGCUAAAAAGGUUGUGGACUUUGAAAUUGAAGAAGAAAAUAAAGUAAAAAAAAGAAAAAAGUAUAUAAUUAAACCCAUGAGCCACGUUUCAUUUCUAUAAUUUAGUUGAAUAUUAGCAAAUUAAAAAUGGCAUAAAACUUAUGGGGUUGUAUGUGUAAUUAAUGAUUUUAAAAAUGGUUUAAUUUACUUGAAAAAAACAUCUCGAGUGAGUGAAUAAGUCAACUUUGACAAUAAGCAAUCCAAAGAUGACCAAAUUCUAAUUAAUUAGUUAAACUAUAUAUUGAACUUCCCAAGGUGUUUGCUUCUGUGAAUAAAUUAUGCUUAUAUAUUAGCCAAUUAAAACCAUAGCAAAUAGCUUUUUUUGUAUUGUAUUGUCCAAAUAUAUAUAUAUAUAUGUAUGGAAAAAUUAAUGUACUAAAGUUUUGGAUCGGGUGCAAUGCUACAUGUCCUACUCACUUUUUUAAAAAAUUAUUGAAUUGAUUAAAAAAAAAAUUAUAUAGUUGACUUUUUAUAAACUCAAGAAGUAUUUGAAGGGUUAGUGAUCUUAUGUAAACUAGGGUUAUAUUCAACUUAGCUAACUAAGGUGUCAAUCUUCGAUUACGAUAUUGAUGAUUUGAAUAUCUCAUUUUGACAUAUUAUUAAAUUUGUGGGGAAAAAAAAUAUACUUAUAUAUUUAGUACAUAAAAUAUAUGUUUAUCUCAUGCUACACAAAAAAAAUUAAAAUUAUGUAAUACUAAUGGUUAAAUUUUUUAAAUGUGAUUACUAAAUUUAAUUUGGUUAAAGAAUUAUAUAUAUAUAUAGUUGUUUUUGAGUUUAUUGUUGUUGUGAAUCUUCAUCCUCAAGUUAUUGUUAAAUUUCUUAUUUCUAUUUUUUUAAUCUUAAAUAUUAACUUAUAAAUUAGAAAAUUUAAGACUCGUUUAAUAAAUACUUCCGAUUUGAUUCUUAGUAAUUCCGUUGUUAAACAUUAAAAUAGUUUAAGUUGUAUUGUCAAUUACUUUGCAUAUUAUCCUUUCAAUUUAGGUGUCAUGAGUUCAAUUUUAUUAUUAAAGUUAUAUAUAUGUUUGUAUUUUUAAAAAGGUAUAUUAUUGGGUGAAAUUUAUUGUAAAAUUGACAAGAAAAUUAUAAAAAUAGAGUUGACUUGAAUUUAAAAAUGGAUUUAUAUUAUAUGUAUAAUGUGAAAUUUUGAGGAGAGGUAUCAAUCCGAUGUAGCAAAAAGCUGAGAAUUAACUUAAUGCAUGAAUGAUAGUGAAUAUAAUCAUCAUUUGACAUUUUCUUUUCUCUUUUUAAUAAAUCAUUUGACAUUUUUUUUGUCUUCACCAAAAACUUUGACGAACUUUAUUAAUUAUAAAAUUAAUGAAAAUCAAAAUUCAACUCAUUAACUUGCAAGCUUUAUUUGAUUAAAUUACACGCCAUUAAUCUAUUAUAUAUUUAAAUAUGUUUGUAUGUAUAUGUGUAUAUCCAAUCCAAUUCCUGGAUAGAUCCAAACAAACUUAAUUCAAAUUUGUGAGGAUUGAGUUGAAUUACAAAACAAUUACAAAAGUCACUAUAUUUAUUUUAGUUCUUGAUUUUUCAAGUUUUUAUAUGUAUAGAAAUUAUCAAAAUCAAUAUUUUCAAAGUACACUGUGUAAAUAAAAUAAAGUAUAUAAUCGUAUUUUGCUUUCGUUUAGGUCAACAAUUAAUUUUGUUAUCAAAUGUUAUAGUGUUUAUCAAAUGAGAUUAUACUUAAAUUGAAAUAUUAAUCAAAUUAUCUAUUGAUUAACGACACGUUACUUUCUAGUUUAUUUGGUGUCAAUACAUUUUUAAUUACUUAAUGUUUACAAUACGAGUUAAAAUUAAUUUUAGACUGAAAUUGGAAAAUAAUUUAUUCUCGAAUAAGCUUGAGUUAUAUCAAUCCAACUAUAUAUGUUUUUAGUGAAGGUGAGUUUAGCUUGAUUUAAUCCACUGUUCUCGUAAUUUCUUUUUAUAGAAAAUAUGCCAUAUACUUCUAACUUUCAUUUAACUUUGUUUAAUCCGUAAUUACCCCUAUAGGCCCAAGCCCAACGCUCUUAUCCAAAAGACCAAAGGCCCAAUACUUUUCAACUCACACCCUUAAGUUUCAACCCACUUUUCAUAUCCAAAAAAAAAAAAAGAAAAAAGAAAGAGAAAAAAAUCACUCACUUUAGACCUAUUUUACACAAAGUAUCUAAAAACUUUUCGAAAAUUUUAAAAAAUAGUAGAUUUUACAAAAUAUUUACAACAUAUAGCAAAUCCUAUCGGUGAUAGUCAUAUAUGCUAUAGUGAUAUAGUGAUAGAACACUAUCGGAAUAAAAUCUAAAAUUUUAGCUUGUAAAUAUUUUAAUUUAUUAUUUUAUUUUUAAAAAUAUCCCAAAACUUUGUUUAUUUAUUAGUUAAGAUUUGGUCGAACCAUUUUAUGUUUGUAACAAUUAUAAAUACAAUUUAUUUUUUGAAAAUUCAUAUAAUAGAAUACCAUAGUUAUAUUAUAUCACAUUUAGCAUCUUUCAUAAUUAAUAUAAUAAAUAAUUCAGAUUUAUAUUUGAUUUAAUAUUAGGAUAUGAUACUUCAUUUUAAUAUGACAUCAAGUUGGAUCUAAUAUGGUAAUAAUAUAUUAAUUAAUUUCUACAUUCUUUCACCUUACCGACGUCUAUUAAAACAUUUAUAAAAAAAUUGGCAACACUAGAUUCAACUUGUAAUGAGACCGCUAUUUAGUCCGACGUCUAUUAGGACAUUUAUGAAAAUUUGGGAAUGCUAGGUGAGACACCCCUAGUUAGGUUAUAGUAGUUAAAAUCCAAAAAAUAAUUAUAUAAAAAAAUUAAAAUAAAGAUCUUCAAAGUAUAGCAAACUCUAUCGUCGUUAAACCAAUAUUUGUAUUAAUAGUCUAUCAAUGAUAGACUCAUAUUGUAGAGUACUAGAGUGAGCAUGGUCAAGUUUUUGAAAAAUGCAUACAAAAUAAAGACCAAUUUAUAUAAUCAUUCUACAUGGAUAAAAAAAUGUUAAUUUAAAGAAAUUGAUAAAUUGUUAUAAGUUACCCUCUGAUAGGCACCGUGUGGAAAUUCAAAAGGGAAAAUUGUUAGGGAAGCAGUAAUGGCAUAUUGGGUCGAAGCUUUGGAGCGUUAAACUCAAAACAAAAAAAAACACAAAAUUGAUAUUAGCAUUGCUUCCUAUAAUUUAAGCAAUGAAAAAACAAAUAAUACAUCUUCAUCAUUUUAAAUUAUAGGUUAAACCAAAAGAAUUUACAAUAGGAAGAAAAAUAAGGUGAAAACUGGAAAGAUGGAUCCAGAUUAUUGACGUCCAAAGAGUAAAAGAGUACACAAACCAUUAGAAAGGUGGUCGAGACAAUAAGAGUAGAUACGAAAUCCAGAGUCUUAAAAGACAUUAUAGAAAUUAGAGAAGAAGAUGGUAACGCCGCUCGCUAUCUGCACCGACACCAUUCUUGAAAUCGACCGACGAAGAAGAAGGCUCGGUGAAAAGAGAUGGCUGGAAAAUUACUUCCACUUCUUGAAUUUUCCUCCGCCAAACAUCCCGUGUUUCCCAUGUUUGUGUUUCCCAAACUUUCCGUGCUUGAACUUCCCAUGGUGCUUGAAUUUUCCACCGUGACCGUGACCAUGACCAUAAUGAGCAACACCAUGGGGGUA